ensembl:ncRNA F55C12.18 ncRNA
GGUAAGCAACACGUCGUCACGGCAACCAUUGUCGUCGGUUUGUUCGGCUCACCGCCCCGCAUUUCAAUGGUAAUCGUCCGUGAGAGGGAGAGGAAAAGAAAGAGCACGGAGGCACGCGGCUGGGACGGACGGACACCUUU